AGCGAUGGCUGCUGUGGUCAGCGGGAAAGGGUAUGGUUUCGGGUUUUUUCCCAAUGAGUCGGCUCUUCGAAUCAGGUGGCCAAAGUAUAUUGGAGCUUCAGCUUCAGCAUCAGUCCUUCCAAUGAAUAUUCAGGACUGAUUUCCUUUAGGACUGACUGGUUUGAUCUCCCUGAGUCCAAAGAACUCUCAAGAGUCUUCUCCAGCACCACAGUUCUUGUCUGAAACAGACUCUGGAAGAAACCAGGAAGGGGUGAAGCAAUCAGAAAGAAAGAAGAAGCCAGGCCAGCAGCAGUUUUUGCGAUAGCCAGCCUCAGCCUGACCCCGCCGGGGCUCCAGAGGGACACACAGAGACCUGUGGCACGGCUCUUAGAUUCUGAGGAGCCCAGGAGUGGAGCUUGUUAUCUCAAACUUCUCAGAGUCCAUCGGGUCUGCUGCAGCCCAUCAUUGCCGACUGGCCUGCUUGCCUGCGUCACAGCCGCAGGGCUCUGUCUUUGGAGCAGAAUUCCCCAGGAGAUGUCUGCAGCAAGGCCAGGGGCUGCCCUGGCGAGGGAGAGGGUGGGGGAACAGGAAGCCUCAGCUGUGUGUCUGGUCUGGUACUAAUUAGCUGUGUGACCUUGGG
ensembl:lncRNA